UUAAAUAUGUGACUAGCUUAUCUGAGCUCAGUGGCCUGAUCCCCAUGGACUGCAUCCACAUUCCAGAGAGCAUCAUCAAGUGAGUAUGAGGGCUUUGAAGCGCUGGUAGCUGGUGAGAAAGAAGUCGCACCAGAGGAGGGGGAUGGGAAAACAAGCCCUUCUAGAAUGAUGGGGAAUGUCAUCUUAUUUCUAAAGGAGAUAGGUAUUAUCUAAUAAAUAAAGCUUUGGCUCUAACCUAAAAAUUGCUAUUCUUUCAGAUCCUCUUUUGUAUGGCUUGUAACGAUUAAUUAUUGACUUUUACUUUUUAUUUCAUACAAUAUAUUUGAUCAUAUCUUUUCAACCAAGAUUAGCUAUUGACAUUUUUUACCUUGAAAUUUGUUUCCACCCUGGAGACACCACUAGUAUGAACUACAACGUUUAUACCUGUUACACUGUACUUUACAUUAAGGUUUUCCCAUAUUUUAGAUUUUUUUCCUUAAGUAAUUUGUCUACAUGAGCCCAGAAGAUAGAUAAAAAGAAAAACUGUUUUCUCCAAAUCCCUCCCCACCAAUGCCUUUAGAGGGAAGAUUAGAUGGAGACCCUUUGUUGAGGAGUGGGUGGGUUGUGAGUAAUAGUUUCCUUGCUUAGGACCAGGCAAGGAGGCAGCCUGGGGUGGAAAGCGCACACACUGUGGGUGUGAAGAUCAUGUCUGGAAGUAGUAAUGAAAGCUAACUCAAAAGUAUUUGGAACUGGAAUAUGAAGGCAGAGAUGUUAGAGCAUGGACAUUCCUAUCUGAUACACUGUUGCAAAGAACCAUUAAUUUUCUGUGGGUCCUGUCCUGCUUUUGUCUCUUGAUGUGGCUAAUUAACCAGUUCUUGUUUCAUUGGACUUGAAAGGGUCUUGACCAUGAGCUCUAAGGGAAAAACAAGUGUUCUGUAUCCCCCUCUAGAAAAUAGACAGCAAAACAGACCUGAUGAGGCCUCCAAAACAUCUCAGUAGCACACACAUAGAAACUGGGGUCUUCUCAUUUACCCUUACCAUUUACCCUGGAACAAAAAAGACCUGUGCUUUAUAGCUCACUUAAUUAAACCCCACCUCACAGAAACCAGGUAAGUAAGUUAGUAAGAAGUUACUGAUGGAAAUAUAAGGAGGGACCAGGCAGGGAUGGGACCAGAUUUUAAAUCUAAAUUAGCCUGUCACCAAAUGUCCACAUGCUUUUCUAGUAGGGUCUUCAUCUUCCUUCAAACGUCAUCCUAAGCCCAAUACCUCACAAAUAGAUGUAUUUGGUUUCUCUCCAUCAGCCAAAUCAGGCCCUAACACCGGCUACUGAUAGGCUUACUGGAGUCAGGUGACUCAGCUUAACCAAGCAGUAUUGAUGAGAUUGUAACCAGGGCUUCAGUCCUCAGGGGCUCCACUGAAGUCUCACAACCAGUGCACCCUCCAGCUCUGGCCUGUGUGCCAUAAGCUUCACCCUGUCUCCCAUACCCUCUCUUCCUUUAAAAAAUAAUGAUGCUAUAGAGUCAAUGGGGAUUCCUGGGAGCAACGGAGACUUCAAGUGAGCAGCUGCUGGUGGGAUGGUGCCUAGCAUCCUGGAAAAUUAAUAGCCAAAAGUCAUGCCAGGCCAGUGGCUUCUGGGUCCUUUAUCCCACAGACUCGAAGAAUGCAUUUCAUACAUAAUGGGGAGGAUGAGUGUUAGGAUGGAGUUUAGUUUAUAGACAAGAUACCAACAGAGUUCCUGGAUAGUAAGGAAAGGAUGCCAUCAAAUGUCCCUAUCUAGGGGUUAAUAGGACUUUUCUAGAUUGGGAUAGCAGGGGAUCUGAUCAGCGCAGUUGUCCCACAUACCACAUAUUUAUGUGCCCCAGUUUCUGUCUAGCUUCCAGACGAGAGUAUUCCUGGCUAUGU
rnacentral:lncRNA from 1 species